UACAGAGGGCUCAAGCGUUAAUCGGUGUCACUGGGCUUAAAGGGUGCGUAGGCGGAUCCGCAAGUGCUUUGUGAAAUCCCACGGCUCAACCGUGGAAUAGCGUGGCAAACUGCGGGUCUUGAGGUCGGUAGGGGCUGCCGGAACUCUAGGUGUAGCGGUGAAAUGCGUAGAUAUCUAGAGGAACACCAAAGGUGAAGACAGGCAGCUGGGCCGAUCCUGACGCUGAGGCACGAAAGCGUGGGUAGCGAACGGG
rnacentral:misc_RNA from 1 species